CCUACGGGGGGCUGCAGUGGGGAAUAUUGGAUAAUGGGGGGAACCCUGAUCCAGCCAUGCCGCGUGUGUGAAGAAGGCCCUCGGGUUGUAAAGCACUUUCAGUGAGGAAGAACGCCUGGUGGUUAAUACCCAUCAGGAAAGACAUCACUCACAGAAGAAGCACCGGCUAACUCCGUGCCAGCAGCCGCGGUAAUACGGAGGGUGCGAGCGUUAAUCGGAAUUACUGGGCGUAAAGCGCGCGUAGGUGGCUUGAUAAGCCGGUUGUGAAAGCCCCGGGCUCAACCUGGGAACGGCAUCCGGAACUGUCAAGCUAGAGUGCAGGAGAGGAAGGUAGAAUUCCCGGUGUAGCGGUGAAAUGCGUAGAGAUCGGGAGGAAUACCAGUGGCGAAGGCGGCCUUCUGGACUGACACUGACACUGAGGUGCGAAAGCGUGGGUAGCGAACAGGAUUAGAUACCCUGGUAGUC
rnacentral:rRNA from 1 species